rnacentral:rRNA from 1 species
AUUGAACGCUGGCGGCAUGCCUUACACAUGCAAGUCGAACGGCAGCACGGGAGCAAUCCUGGUGGCGAGUGGCGAACGGGUGAGUAAUAUAUCGGAACGUGCCCAGUCGUGGGGAUAACGUAGCGAAAGCUACGCUAAUACCGCAUACGAUCUAUGGAUGAAAGCGGGGGAUCGCAAGACCUCGCGCGAUUGGAGCGGCCGAUAUCAGAUUAGGUAGUUGGUGAGGUAAAGGCUCGCCAAGCCGACGAUCUGUAGCUGGUCUGAGAGGACGACCAGCCACACUGGGACUGAGACACGGCCCAGACUCCUACGGGAGGCAGCAGUGGGGAAUUUUUGGACAAAUGGGCGCAAGCCUGAUCCAGCAAUGCCGCGUGCAGGAUGAAGGCCUUCGGUUGUAACUAGCUUUGUACGGUAACG